rnacentral:rRNA from 1 species
AGAGUUUGAUCAUGGCUCAGCCUGAACGCUGGCGGCGUGGCUAAGACAUGCAAGUCGUACGGGGUAGCAAUACCCAGUGGCGAACGGGUGAGUAAUGUAUCGCUAACGUGCCCCCGAGUCAGGGAUAGCUGCCCGAAAGGGCAGGUAAUACCUGAUGAGACCACGACCGGGCAUCCGGUAGUGCUCAAAGCAGCAAUGCGCUCAGGGAGCGGGCGAUAUCGUAUCAGCUAGUUGGUGAGGUAACGGCUCACCAAGGCGACGACGCGUAGCCGGACUGAGAGGUUGGCCGGCCACAUUGGGACUGAGACACUGCCCAGACUCCUACGGGGGGCUGCAGUAACGAAUCUUCCGCAAUGCACGAAAGUGUGACGGAGCGACGCCGCGUGUGGGACGAAGUCCUUCGGGAUGUAAACCACUGUCAGGGGUUACCAAGUUCUGAGGAGCCCCAGAGGAAGGCACGGCUAACUCUGUGCCAGCCGCCGCGGUAAUUC